rnacentral:rRNA from 1 species
AUUCCCUGCAUAAUACGAUAGGCCUCGAGUCUGCUUCUCGUUCUGAGCACGCCGUAAUAAUAAUAAGGAUAGUCGGGGUCUCUAUUAUCAUCGUCAGAGGAGAACAUCUUCGCAUGAUAGAGACUCACUCUCGGAAACAAUAUACAAAGGAGAUUUCUCUCAAUCUAGUGAACCAAAGUUGUGGGAUGGACGAGGGACUGACCCCGUGGUGAUUCAAACUAUAAAGCAUGCCCCCUAGGGGUCGGGCGCCCUUUAGUAUUUUUACCAUUCGGCACCCUUCGAGAAAAUCAAAGUUUUUGGGUCCAGGGGGGAGUAUGGUUCCAAGGCUGAAACUUAAAGACAAUUGACGGAAGGGCCCCACCAGGGGUGGGCACUGCGGCUUAAUUUGACUCAACCCGGGGAAACUCACCAGGUCCAGACACAAUUAGGAUUGACAGAUUGAGAGCUCUUUUUUGAUUUUGUGUGUGCUGGAGCAAGUCCGUUCUUAGUUGGUGGAGUGAUUUUUCUGCUUAAUUGCGAUAACGAACGAGGCCUUAACCUGCUAAAUAUCCAGGCGCGCUUUUGCGGGUCGCCAGCUUCUUAGAGCGUCUAUCGGCUCAAGCCGAUGGAAGUGUGAGGCAAUAACAGGUCUGUGAUGCCCUUAGAUGUUCUGGAACGCACACGCGCUACACUGACAGAGCCAACGAGUUCAUUUCCUUAGCCGAAAGGUUUGAGUAAUCUUGUUAAACUCUGUCGUGCUGGGGAUAGAGCAUUGCAAUUAUUGCUCUUCGACGAGGAAUGCCUAGUAAGCGCAUGUCAUCAGCAUGCGUUGAUUACGUCCCUGGACUUUGCACACCCCCCGUC